UACGUUACCAUUUGGUCUGAACACAGGUUCCUUUGUCAACGUGCCUUCUCAAGAUACGUGGGUAACAACUACCACGAUGCUCCUCACACUUUCUAAACCAGUGUAUUUUUACAAAUGAACAGGGGAGCUCCGCUUUUAAGGAGGUCAGAAGGAUUAAGGCAGGAGCCUGGGCUUCAGAGAGGAGACACACGAG
rnacentral:lncRNA from 1 species